rnacentral:rRNA from 1 species
GACGAACCGAGCGAACGUUGUUCGGAAUCACUGGGCUUAAAGGGCGCGUAGGCGGGCUGCCGCGUCCGGGGUGAAAUCCCACGGCUCAACCGUGGAACGGCCCCGGGUACGGGCGGCCUCGAGGAAGGUAGGGGCGUGCGGAACUGUGGGUGGAGCGGUGAAAUGCGUUGAUAUCCACAGGAACUCCGGUGGCGAAGGCGGCACGCUGGACCUUUUCUGACGCUGAGGAGCGAAAGCCAGGGGAGCGAACGGG